rnacentral:rRNA from 1 species
CAAGGCGACGAUGCGUAGCCGACNUGAGAGGGUGAUCGGCCACACUGGGACUGAGACACGGCCCAGACUCCUACGGGAGGCACCAGUAGGGAAUCUUCCGCAAUGGACGAAAGUCUGACGGAGCAACGCCGCGUGAGUGAUGAAGGUCUUCGGAUCGUAAAGCUCUGUUGUUAGGGAGAACAAGUGCCGUUCAAAUAGGGCGCACCUUGACGGUACCUAACCAGAAAGCCACGGCUAACUACGUGCCAGCAGCCGCGGUAACACGUAGGUGGCAAGCGUUGUCCGGAAUUAUUGGGCGUAAAGGGCUCGCAGGCGGUUUCUUAAGUCUGAUGUGAAAGCCCCCGGCUCAACCGGGGAGGGUCAUUGGAAACUGGGGAACUUGAAGUGCAGAAGAGGAGAGUGGAAUUCCACGUGUAGCGGUGAAAUGCGUAGAGAUGUGGAGGAACACCAGUGGCGAAGGCGACUCUCUGGUCNGUAACUGACGCUGAGGAGCGAAAGCGUGGGGAGCGAACAGGAUUAGAUACCCUGGUAGUCCACGCCGUAAACGAUGAGUGCUAAGUGUUAGGGGGUUACCGCCCCUUAGUGNUGCAGCUAACGCAUUAAGCACUCCGCCUGGGGAGUACGGUCGCAAGACUGAAACUCAAAGGAAUUGACGGGG